UUUAAGUCAAUAUGGUUAAGUAAAUUUACAAGUUUGAUUUAAGAAAAGAGUUUAAAAAUGCAAUGGCAUAAGGCCAAAGUUUCUAAUUUGCAAUAAAGUCUAAGUUUAGAAAUCACAAGCAAAGAAGAUUUUGAAAAGAGGGGGAGAUUUUAAAUUUAAGAAGUGGGAGGAGAUGAAGAGACUAAUCCUAAGCAAAAAUUUAAAAGUUAAGAGUUGAAAAGAUCUGACCAAUGGGAUGUGAUCCAAUAGACAAGAAUG
rnacentral:lncRNA from 1 species